GGAGCGCUCAGAGGGCCCGCCCUCCGGCUGAGGGGCGGGGCCUCUGUGGUACGCCGUCGUGCGUGGCGCAGCCAUCUUGGAGCCGGGCGAUGGCGUCCUCAGGGCGGAAGUGUGGCGUGGAGGGAGCCGGUGUUGUCAUGUCUGUGGCUCUCAGGUGUUCCCUUGAUCUGGCUUCCCAGGCUCCUGUCAAGUUAUGGCACAGCUGAUGGGCAGUCUUCCCAUCUGCAGGACCCGCCGAGGCAGCCCCCCCACACCCUGGGCAGCAGGAUGUGGUCGCAGAGGUUCUUGCUGCCUUUGAGAGACGGUCUCCGGACCCUUCUUUUCUGUUGGCUCACGGCUUCUUCCAGACCCUCCACCUGUGUGCAUCUCUUCGCCCCGUGGCCUCCCCAGCCGAGGAAUCUGCUUAGCAUUUAAAGCAGAAACAGAACCAGCCCUGCCCCCCAGAAAUUGAACUUUUUGUUGUUUGUCUUCAGAAAAGCAAACCAGGUGUUGAGUUGGGCUCAUCUGGAUUGCUUCAGCUAUGGGUGAACAGCCAGACCUUCCCAUUUCAAUAUCCACACGCCUCAUUUCUCCCUCCCUAGUGAGGGUCGGAGGUGCUUUGGUUGUGCAUGACACAGGCUACCCCAUUUCACUGCUGGAGAGCUCAGAGCUCGCUGUGUAAGAAACAGAGGGAGGUAAGAGAAAGGAAAGCAGGAUGGCCCCUGCUGACCAUGCUCCCAGGAGCCUUCUGUGCCCUGGGAGCUGGGCUCACAAAUGGUCUGGUGUUUCAGGGAUGGGCCUUAUUUUGGAGCCAGACUGCUGGAGUUCACAUUCUGGUGUUGUCCCCUCCUGGCUGUGUGGCUUCAACUUCUCUGUGCCCUCGUUUCCUCACUUGUGAACUGGGGCUAACCCCACAGGGUGUGAGGAUUAGAUAAAUUAAAUCAUGGAAGGGGCUAAUGGUCAGUGCUGUGUAAGUGUCACCCCAAGGUGAUUUCUUUUCCUGCGGUGCGCGGGCCUCUCACUCCCUUGUUGGUCCCUUCUCCACUGGGUGUUCUAAUCACCCUCAUGUGGGAGACUGAGUGGCCCUUAAAAGACCUGCUGGGCCUGGUCUUGGAGGAAGAGCAGAUGGAGCCUGUGCAGCAGCGAGUCCCGCAGACCCCGGGGGCUUGGCCAGCGCUGGGUGACAGGGCAAACGUGUGGCUAAGGGCCGUGAAGGGGAUCAGGAUAUGCCGAGCCAAAAUAUAGCACCUUGGCGUGAGGUUUAUUUUGAGCUGAAGGCAUUCGAGAAUCAAUAGAUGCAGAAAGAGGCCUUUUUGGAGCGUCCCUCAUCUGAAUAAGAGCAACUUCUGGGAAAUAAGGCUGCCGUAAAUUGUCGGGCCUGUCUGCUUCCAGGGGGGAUACUGUGAAUAAAUCCUAUCCCAAGUUCCUUCUCGGGGACAUUAUCACAUACCUUCUUAUGUUUCAAUUGUUCUCUUAAAACUCGUUUGUCUUUCCUAAAGAGACUUGUUUUUCCUGUAGGAAGGCUUUUCUCCCGGCUCCCUUUCCCCCAUUAAAUUAGGUAUAUAAGCAUCUAAUUGAAACCAUUUACUGAGCCAGCUACUUUUCUUGGCUCCCAUGUGCAUACGAAUGAACUUUUUUCUUCUGUUAAAUCUGUUGUCAGUUUAGUCCACACACGUCAGUUACUGAACGUGAGAGGGUAAAGGAAAAGGUAUUUCCUACCCUACAGCUUCCUUCACCACAGAGGCUCCGUAACUUGGCCAGACAUGGAGGUGGGGUGAGGCGAUGCGGGUGGAGGGGGCAUGGGGAUGUGAGGGCAGGAGCCGGGACUGCCCCUCCUCCCCUUAUGUGUGACAUCACGCUCAAAAACUCACCAGAAUGAGUGGGAAGAUGGAGAUUGAUCCCCUAGGCAGACAAAAGAUGGCUUUUCAUCAGAAACAAAACAUUGUCAGGCAGGAAGGUGAGUGAGAAGGUCCCAGGAAGGCAGGCAAGGGUUGUAGAGAAGGGAGGGGCAUGCCUUCUACAGGGCGGGCGAUGCGUCAUCGUCUUGGGGGCUACACGUGUCAGAAAACUGAAAAAAAUUUUAGCUUUUUCCCGUGUUUGGUUUAAAUUCGGUUCAAAAUGUCCCACAUAGGAAACAAAAGGGGGAUUUGCUGUGUGCUCCCACCAUACCCUGAACUUGUCAUCUCCUUGGCGCUCAGAGAGAACAGCGAGUCCAUUGGCUCCAUCACCUGAGCCAACAGGAGCCACUGGGCCUCAGCCAGCUCUGGUGACCUCUGCCCUCAGGAGGAGCUGGGAGCAACCUGCGUGCAGGACGUCUGCCCCUCCUUCUGGAAGCCACACCCUAACCAGGUGCAGAUGUGCUGGGCGGAGGUUUGCUGAGAUGAUUUAGAAUGUUUAUCAUUGGCAACCUAAUGUUCAGGUUGCAAGUGUGAGAGGUCAUACCCGUAUUUUCAUGUAGAUACAGAAGAACAUAUUUUCUGAAUUUUGGGGAGCUCCCUUAAAUCAUGCUGGUUUUUCAGGGCGAGACACUCCAGAACAUAAGAGAGUUAAGAUGCAAAAUGCUUUAACAUGGCUCUCUAGCAUCGUGUGUGCUUGGAGUACAUCUGUUGAGAAUUUUGCGUGGGCUCUGCUUUUGUGGAAACAAAUCCGAAUUGCCUGUUUAUCAAAGGCAGAAAAUUAAGGGGAUUCUGAGCUCGUGGUGCAGGGAAUGGACGUGGUGACACAACUUUGAAGUGGUAGAAAAAUUAUUUGUCACUAUUGUAAGCUUAAUGGUGACAUCUGGUAUCACUACGUGUUUUCUGGCUUUUUCAGUUGAAUUUUGGUUCUUCAAACCCUCUCCGGGAUUGGAGGUGGCAGUGGGCUCAGGUUUCAAUGGUGUGGAAGCCCUGGCUGCUGUCUUACAUUACUCGGCUUGAGGUGUCAACCUGACCUCUGGGUCAUUCCUUAUGCUCUGGGAUAACUGGGGUCCAUUUCUUCCCAGGAGAAAAUAAAAUAUAAAAUAUACUGGAUGAUAAUGUCCUUUGAUCAAAGAUCCUUAACAAGGGAACACCCAGGAGAUCAUUGAAAGGCUGAGAUCACCCCUCCCCCUGUUUCCAAACAUUGACCAAAGGUCACAGCCUGUGUACUGGAGGGCAUGCUGGACGACCCUGCGAGCCUCACGUGAGCAUCGGGACCCUGCACGCCCAAGCCUCCUACAUACAGGGCUACAGAAAGGCGAGUGGAAACAGGAGAAAGACUAUUCAAAUGCACUUCCCCAGAGAAGAUAGAUAGAUGGCCAACAAGCACCUGAAAAGAUACUUGGCAAAAUGCAAAUCAGAACCACCACGAGAUACCAUUUGCCCCCUCUCUGGUGGUUAUAAUAAAAAUGCAAAAUGACAAGUGCUGGCGUAGAUGUGGAGAAAUUGGAACCCUCGUGCAUGGCUGGUGGGGAUGUAAAACAGUGUAGCCGCUGUGGGAAACAGUCUGGAGGUUCCUCAGAAGGUUAAGCACAGAGUUACCAGGUGACCCAGCAACUCCACUCCUGGGUGCACACCCAAGAGAAUUGAAAAGAGGCACCUGAGCACAUACCUGCCUGCCCACGGUCAUUCCUGCACAGUCACUGCAGCCGUAAGGUGGAAAGAGCCCGUGUCCAUUGACGAAUGAUGGAUAAACAGAACGUGGUCAUCCGUACAAGGGGGCAUCAUCCUGCUGUAAAAAGGAAUGAAGUGCUGACACACUACAAUGUGGAUGAACCUUGAAACCAUUAUUCUAAGUGAAAGAGCCCAGACAGAAAGGGCCACAUACAUGACAUGAGUUCACUUGUGUGUGAAACAUCCAGAACAGUACUAACGUGGAUCAGAAAGUAUGACAAAGUCUUCCUGGCUGAUAAGGCUGCGUGGAAUAUACAUUCUAAGAGAGUGAUCUUCAGGGUAGGGAGAGACAAGUACAGGUGGGAAUUUUGUGAUGAGCACAAGACUGCUUCUAAAGCUGCCAGAUUCUCCUUUUCACCUGUGUUCCUGCAGUUCUGUUACUUGCCACUAGAUGUGUGUGAGUGCUGUUAAGGCCUGCAGUCGUUAGUAUGAUAGAUCUAUUCCUGGCAAUCCGUAGAUACGCAUAAAUUCCACGUGGAAUUCAGCAGAGAUCUUGAGCAGGUUUCAGAUGCCUCGCCCCCGUGUGUCCCGGCAUCUUAAAUUAAUCGUGUGGGAAAGCUCUCCACUUGCAACAAGGGAGAUUUUUAUGCUGUAUUCAGACGUGGGCGGAUCCCAGUAUGUGUUACCUGGCGCCUGGGAGGAACCUGUGGUCCGGGACGUGGUCAGAAGGACCUGGUCAUAAACGACAGGCUUUCCAGCUGAAAACCUCCCGAUUAUCCUUCUGUGGUGCCAGUUUUGGCAGACUAACAGCACCCACCAAAAAGCAUCCUUUCCGUCCUCCUGCCCCCAAAUUUUAAUGUCGUCCCAAAGGUGCUCUCAUGGCAGCUGAAAGGAAAGUUUAAUGGACAGUUUUAUUGGUUUCUCAAGGCUGUUUCAAGAUGAUGCCGAAAUCCCUUGGAAUGUUUCUGGGACCGCGGAUUCAGGGAACAACAAAUCACCACCAACUGGGGGCCCGAGACAACACUGGUUCUCUUGCAGUCUGGAGCCUGAAUCAGAGAUUCAGGUGUCUCAAGGCUGUGCUGCCUGUGGAGGCUCUCGGGGGCUGGAAGGGGGAGGGUCCUUCCGGGCUUGUCCAGCCUCUGGGGCACCAGGUGUCCCUGGGCUGUGGCCGCGUCACUCCAGCCUCUACCUCCAUCUUUGCGUGGUUUCUCCUCUGUCAGGACUCCAGUCGUUGGAUUGAGGGCCGCCCUGAUCCAGGAUGAUCUCAUCUUAAAGAUCCUUCACUUUAUUACGUCUGCAAGGACCCCGUUUCCAAAUAAUGUCAUAACCUGAUAUUCAGGUUGUAUUCAUCAUGUUUUACCAUUUUCUGUACCUUGUGAUGUCUUGACAUCUUAAGAAACCUUUUGCUUCCAGACCCCACACCACCUCUUUAUCCACCUCUCACACACGGUGCCAACAUUCCCCCUUGCCCUUAAUCACCCAGGAAGAGGGACCAGACAGCUGGGGACAACCCCAGCACCCCCGGAACUGAUAAAGGCUCUCCUAGACCUCCCCCUGACUCCUGCUUCCACUCGGGUGCUUCCCCAUGGCCCUGCAUGUGUGGCCUCAUCUCUAGGACCCCUGAGUCUAAUAAACUUUGUCUUCCCGAGCUAUUCUUCUGUGCCCACACGUGUCCGACCGUCUCGUAAGAGAACACAGAACAGUCUGGGCACAGAUCAGGGUGGAUGUGGAUAUUUGGGGACACUCGUCAGCCCCCACGUGGACUGCACACACGUGUAUAUUGGCGUUAGGCCAGCAGGUCUGGCCACUGUCCCCCUCCCGUGAUGCACACCGGGACAGGGUGGCCAGUCACCUGCUGGGAUGACCCCAUCCCAAGGCUGAGGCCCCGGGAACCUCCAUCCGGGCUCCGAGGUGCUGCUGACUCUGUGCAUUUCAGAUAAGCAGGAAGUUCCUGAAAGGAAAACCACAAGCUUUAUUUUUAUUUAAUUCCAGCCAUUCUGUGGUUUUUGGAGAUGGUCUUUAAAGAUUUGUUUUUGAUUUUUAUCUCAAAGAGAAUGCAGAAAAGCCCAUGGGUCAGGCUCCAGAGAAAAUACACACAGAGAAGAGAAGCAGCGAGCUUGCCCCAGGCAGCUGUGGGGAGCAGGCAGGAUGGGCCUGGGGGGCACACUCUGGAGGAGGAGCUGCGGCUCCACCAGCUGGUGCUGCUGCCUGGAGCCCCAGCCUGGGCCACGCGGGGUGAGUCCCCACAGGCAGAGGGGCCGAGCGGGCUGUUGGGUUUA